rnacentral:rRNA from 1 species
CGCUGGCGGCAUGCUUUACACAUGCAAGUCGAACGGCAGCGCGGACUUCGGUCUGGCGGCGAGUGGCGAACGGGUGAGUAAUAUAUCGGAACGUACCCAAGAGUGGGGGAUAACGUAGCGAAAGUUACGCUAAUACCGCAUACGAUCUAAGGAUGAAAGUGGGGGAUCGCAAGACCUCAUGCUCCUGGAGCGGCCGAUAUCUGAUUAGCUAGUUGGUGAGGUAAAGGCUCACCAAGGCGACGAUCAGUAGCUGGUCUGAGAGGACGACCAGCCACACUGGGACUGAGACACGGCCCAGACUCCUACGGGAGGCAGCAGUGGGGAAUUUUGGACAAUGGGCGCAAGCCUGAUCCAGCAAUGCCGCGUGAGUGAAGAAGGCCUUCGGGUUGUAAAGCUCUUUUGUCAGGGAAGAAACGGCCGAGGCUAAUACCUUUGGCUAGUGACGGUACCUGAAGAAUAAGCACCGGCU